ACAAUUCCCAAUCAGUUCUGACUCAAUCAUCAUGGGAUAGCAGCUCUGACAGCCCAUAAAUCUGUUGACCGGAAGUUAUGAUGUGAUAGGAAAAGUAGUACUAGUUUGUGUGUCGGUGUGUGUAAUAGUGGUUCCAGAGGCUAUUUGGGUAUCCGUCGUCAUUCUGGAUGCAGUGCAUCAUGGACCUGGCCAGGAAUGUUCCACACUUAGGAGAUGCAUCGAUUUGCGGUGAGGAACUCGCUCUCGACCUUUCCACCAAAGUGAACAGGCCAAGAAAAGCCGCAAAGUUCAUUAAGUCCCCAAGUGGCUAACUACACAUCAUGGAUUUCCUGCUGUCCCCCGGAAUUCCUCGAUUCCCCGUCAUCAUUCUCAAAUUUUGUCGUCGUGCUUUUGGGUUAUCAGUCCGGGUGUGAGUUUUGGUCGCCAGCUAUCCGGCUUUCAAGUAUCCAGAAUCACAGCUUUCCCCAGUUUCCCGUGUUCCCCAGCUCAACAGAUUUCUCAAUGGACACUGGCCACCGAAAAUUCUUAGAAUUCCGGAAAUGAAUGUGCGCAAUUUCGCAUUGGGCAAACAGACAGAAACAGCCGAGAACCAACUACAUUUUCGGGUCCCCAGUGCCGGGAAAUUCAUGGCAUGGUUGGAUGAAAAGUGAGUGGUAAGUGGGAAAUGGCAACUGAGUGGCACCUAGAUUGUGUUCGGACUAGAAUGAAUUGCAGCUAAUUGGAAUGUUUUUUGGCAUUAAAAUGAACUAGACUCGUA